rnacentral:rRNA from 1 species
GUGGGGAAUUUUGGACAAUGGGCGCAAGCCUGAUCCAGCAAUGUCGCGUGCAGGAAGAAGGCCUUCGGGUUGUAAACUGCUUUUGUACGGAACGAAACGGUCCUGGUUAAUACCUGGGGCUAAUGCCGGUACCGUAAGAAUAAGCACCGGCUAACUACGUGCCAGCAGCCGCGGUAAUACGUAGGGUGCAAGCGUUAAUCGGAAUUACUGGGCGUAAAGCGUGCGCAGGCGGUUUUGUAAGACAGGCGUGAAAUCCCCGGGCUCAACCGGGGAAUUGCGCUUGUGACUGCAAGGCUGGAGUGCGGCAGAGGGGGAUGGAAUUCCGCGGGUAGCAGUGAAAUGCGUAGAUAUGCGGAGGAACACCGAUGGCGAAGGCAAUCCCCUGGGCCUGCACUGACGCUCAUGUACGAAAGCGUGGGGAGCAAACAGGAUUAGAAACCCGAGUAGUCC